UCGAGCGGACAGAUGGGAGCUUGCUCCCUGAUGUUAGCGGCGGACGGGUGAGUAACACGUGGGUAACCUGCCUGUAAGACUGGGAUAACUCCGGGAAACCGGGGCUAAUACCGGAUGCUUGUUUGAACCGCAUGGUUCAAACAUAAAAGGUGGCUUCGGCUACCACUUACAGAUGGACCCGCGGCGCAUUAGCUAGUUGGUGAGGUAAUGGCUCACCAAGGCGACGAUGCGUAGCCGACCUGAGAGGGUGAUCGGCCACACUGGGACUGAGACACGGCCCAGACUCCUACGGGAGGCAGCAGUAGGGAAUCUUCCGCAAUGGACGAAAGUCUGACGGAGCAACGCCGCGUGAGUGAUGAAGGUUUUCGGAUCGUAAAGCUCUGUUGUUAGGGAAGAACAAGUACCGUUCGAAUAGGGCGGUACCUUGACGGUACCUAACCAGAAAGCCACGGCUAACUACGUGCCAGCAGCCGCGGUAAUACGUAGGUGGCAAGCGUUGUCCGGAAUUAUUGGGCGUAAAGGGCUCGCAGGCGGUUUCUUAAGUCUGAUGUGAAAGCCCCCGGCUCAACCGGGGAGGGUCAUUGGAAACUGGGGAACUUGAGUGCAGAAGAGGAGAGUGGAAUUCCACGUGUAGCGGUGAAAUGCGUAGAGAUGUGGAGGAACACCAGUGGCGAAGGCGACUCUCUGGUCUGUAACUGACGCUGAGGAGCGAAAGCGUGGGGAGCGAACAGGAUUAGAUACCCUGGUAGUCCAC
rnacentral:rRNA from 1 species